rnacentral:rRNA from 1 species
GCAGGCUCGCGCUUGAAUACAUUAGCAUGGAAUAAUGAAAUAGGACGUUCGAUCCUAUUUUGUUGGUUUCUAGGAUUGACGUAAUGAUUAAUAGGGAUAGUUGGGGGCAUUAGUAUUCAAUUGUCAGAGGUGAAAUUCUUGGAUUUAUUGAAGACUAACUACUGCGAAAGCAUUUGCCAAGGAUGUUUUCAUUAAUCAAGAACGAAAGUUGGGGGAUCGAAGACGAUCAGAUACCGUCGUAGUCUUAACCAUAAACUAUGCCGACUAGGGAUCGGAUGAUGUUAUUUUUAAUGACUCAUUCGGCGCCUUACGGGAAACCAAAGUGUUUGGGUUCCGGGGGGAGUAUGGUCGCAAGGCUGAAACUUAAAGGAAUUGACGGAAGGGCACCACCAGGCGUGGAGCCUGCG